ensembl:lncRNA
GCCUGCUGGCCCAGCCCUACUCCAGAUGCUGCGACUCUGUCUCAUUUCCUCCUCCUGCAGUGAGUGUGGACAUCAUCUUGACCUAGACACCCAGAUACCAGCAUCUCCAGGACAAAGAGUCACCAUUUCCUCUCAAGCCAGUGUUGAUGUACACAGAGAAAUAUCUGGAUCUGAACAAAACUUGGACAAAGCGCAUCAUGUGUGUGCUAAACAGAUUUGAUUGUGUCUGACUCUUUGCAACCCCGUGGACUGUAGCCCGCCAGGCUCCUCUGUCUAUGGGAUUCUCCUUAAGUCAACGGGAAAAAAGAAAAGCUCUUCUUGUCUCUGGGAUAACGGAAGUGUUGGGACAGAGCACGCAGUAUGGAGGCCACAGGGCUCAGCUGGAGACGACAGGAUGUGAUGGAGAUGCUCAGUACCUGGAUGCUUCUGACCAGUCAUGACACACACGUUUUAUUGUUCAUUGCGUCUCUGGCUGGUUGUGAUGACAAUUUCUCUCGCCAAGAAUAUCAGGGAAGCCAAACAAAGUAGAAGCCUCUGUGGCCACAAUAAUAUCUACCGGC